rnacentral:rRNA from 1 species
UAAGGAAUAUUGCGCAAUGGGGGAAAACCUGACGCAGCAACGCCGCGUGGAGGAUGACACUUUUCGGAGCGUAAACUCCUUUUAUCAGGAAAGAAUAAUGACGGUACCUGAUGAAUAAGCACCGGCUAACUCCGUGCCAGCAGCCGCGGUAAUACGGGGGGUGCAAGCGUUACUCGGAAUCACUGGGCGUAAAGGACGCGUAGGCGGAUUAUCAAGUCUUUUGUGAAAUCUAGUGGCUUAACCACUAAACUGCUUAGGAAACUGAUAGUCUAGAGUAGGGGAGAGGUAGAUGGAAUUCUUGGUGUAGGGGUAAAAUCCGUAGAGAUCAAGAAGAAUACCCAUUGCGAAAGCGAUCUGCUGGAACCUAACUGACGCUGAGGCGUGAAAGCGUGGGUAGCAAACAGG